AUUGAACGCUGGCGGAAUGCUUUACACAUGCAAGUCGAACGGCAGCACGGACUUCGGUCUGGUGGCGAGUGGCGAACGGGUGAGUAAUGUAUCGGAACGUGCCCCGUCGUGGGGGAUAACGUAGUGUAAAUUACGCUAAUACCGCAUACGAUCUCUGGAUGAAAGCGGGGGAUCGCAAGACCUCGCGCGAUUGGAGCGGCCGAUAUCAGAUUAGGUAGUUGGUGGGGUAAAGGCCCACCAAUGCAACGAUCUGUACCUGGUAUGCGAGGACGACCAGCCACGCUGGAACUGCGAGACGGUCCAGACUCCUACGGGAGGCAGCAGUGGGUAAUUUUGGACAAUGGGCGAAAGCCUGAUGCAGCCAUUCCGCGUGCAGGAUGAAGGCCCUCGGGUUGUAAACUGCUUUUGUACAGAACGAAAAGGUUUCUACUAAUACUAGGAGCUCAUGACGGUACUGUAAGAAUAAGCACCGGCUAACUACGUGCCAGCAGCCGCGGUAA
rnacentral:rRNA from 1 species